GCCUGGGUAGCUCAGUCCAUUGAGCAUCUGACUUAAGCUCAGGUCAUGAUCUCACAGUUCGUGGGUUUGAGCCCUAUGUCGGGCU
rnacentral:tRNA from 1 species